GACGAACGCUGGCGGCGUGCCUAACACAUGCAAGUCGAACGGGACCAGGGGCAACUCUGGUUCAGUGGCGGACGGGUGCGUAACACGUGAGGAACAUGACCUUCGGCGGGGAGUAGCCGGCCCAACGGCCGGGUAAUACCGCGUACGACCACUUUGGGACAUCCUCGGUGGUGAAAGCAGCAAUGCGCCGAUGGAGUGCCUCGCGGCCUAUCAGCUAGUUGGUGAGGUAACGGCUCACCAAGGCGACGACGGGUAGCUGGUCUGAGAGGAUGGCCAGCCACAUUGGGACUGAGACACGGCCCAGACUCCUACGGGAGGCAGCAGUGGGGAAUAUUGCGCAAUGGACGAAAGUCUGACG
rnacentral:rRNA from 1 species